rnacentral:lncRNA from 1 species
GAAUGCACUAUGUAGCAAGCUCUUGUCUCAAAAAAUUUAAAAAAGUACACAUUGUUCUUGCACAUUGUCUUCUUUGUCCAUUAGCAUGCUUAACAUAUGAAUCAUAGUUAUUUUAAAUUCCUGAUCCAGUAAUUUCAACAUCCCUGCCAUAUCUGAGUCUGGGUAUAGUUCUGAGGCUUGUUCUGUUUCUUCAAACUGAUUUUUUAGAAAAGAAGUGUGAAGGGCUGGAGAUUUAGCUCAGUGGUGCUGCUGCCUGCCUCGAAAGUGCAAGGUCCUGAGUUCGAUCCCCAAUACAAAAAAAAAAAAAAAAAAAGCAUGAAGAGGUUUAUUAGGCAGAUGGGAAAGUUCUGCACACUCACAGAAAGUAGUGUGGGCCUGUGGGAGAGAUCGAGCUGUGUUUCUGUUUCAAUGUCCCUGUCUUUUCUUCACUCUUUUUUUUGUUUUGUUUGUUUUUGGUAGUGGGGAUCCAACUUGGGUCCUUGCGCUUAUGAAGCAGGCAGCAGAACCACUGAGCUAAACCCCCAGCGUCCCUGUCUUUUCUGUUUGAAGCCGGUGCUGGCAUUCAGGGUGAGAGGACCGUAGUACACAGGCCUAUGUGGCUGGCGGUGAGGCAUAGGGCUGGACUUAGUCCUGUGAUCAGGUCUCAAGGAGACUGUCCCUCUGGGCUGUGAUUUCGCACGUGCUUUCUGUGUCUCCCCAGUCAGGUGAGAGGACAGCUGCGGGACUGGCAUCAGGGCUUCCCUUCCCUGAGGACAGACAGCCUUGCCAUCCAGGAAGGGAUUUCGACACCAGACCAGCAAGUUUUUGUAUCGGCCUGGUGGGCUCAGAAGACCUGGCUGUGGACCAGAGCACAGUCAUCAGUCCCUACACUUCCCGGAUCCUAAAGCCCUACAUCAGGUGUGCAGAGAAGAUGCAAGGAUGGGUUAUGCUGGGUGAGGUUUGUGGCAUGCUCGCCCUGGCCUCUUGCUGGAGUGAAUAGGAGACCCAACACCCUGAGCAGGUGCUGGUGGGGGCGGCUUGUCCAUGUCCCCAGUCACCCUUUGCUCCUUCAGUUGUGGCCUUGCAGACAAGAUGAUCCUUUGAAACACAUAAAAAACAAGAUAAGUGAACUGUUGCUAUUUCUUUCUUUCUUUCUUUUUUUUGGUACCUGAGAUCAAACUCAGAUUCUUGAGCUUGUGAGGCAGGUGCGGUUGCCACUAAGCUAAAUCCCCAGCCCAACUGUUGCUAUUUCUUUGUGAUUAUCAUAAAUCAUUGUUUUGUUUUAAAUAUUAAAGUUGUAUAUAUUCAGUAGUAUGUGAAAUUAAAAUAAAAAGGGGAAAGAUGUCACAAUUGAGUGAGCCAGUAUCUGAGCUACAUGUUGGGACCUUUUCUAAUAUGGGUCCAAGCAGUGCACCAGAAGCAGAACUCCCUAGAGAGGCCUGCAGUGGUGCUGGCUGUGUGCUGUAGGCCCAGUGUCUGUGUGGGCCCUGCACUUGCAGUGCCUAUUCACCCAGUCUUCUUUACCUGGCACUGGGUUCUGGGCAGGCCUGUGGGCAGGUGGUCUGUGAGCCUGCCAAUGCCUGGAGAGAACCGUGGGCUGUUGCUUUUCCUCACUUUGUUCACAAAGGCAGCCAGCACCUAGUGUGGUCUCUGGAGGGUGCUGAGGGGUUUGACCUGAUGAAUGAAUGUUAGUAGACUGAAUUUCAGAUUUCAUGCCAAAAAAGUGUUAUAACUAUAAUCAAGCUAGUUAUCACAUAAAAGGAAAGUGGUGCAAAUUAGUUUAAGAUUUCAAAUAUAUCAAAGUAUGUAUGAGUCACAUAACUGGGAAUAAUACUGGGCAUUUUCUUGACUUGACUUUGUUUAUUUUCUGUGUUCUGGAGGCGUGAUUAUGAGACAAAACCACCCAAACUACAGCUUCUGUCCCAGAUUCGUUCCUACCUGCACAGAGGUGACCCUCACUGGAUAUCCGAGCCCGACCACCUCUUGAUUACUGCUAUGUCCGGCCAAAUCACAUCCCAACGAUCAACUCGAUGUGUCAGGAGUUUUUCUGGCCUGGUAUGUUACCCCCUCCAACCCUGGCAGAUGGAUUUCAGUAGACCUCACCCCAGGAGUUUUAAAUCAUUGUAUGCCACAUGACCCUAUGACCUUUCCUCAUGUGAUUUCGUGUAGGUUUGUCUCUACUAAUAUAGAAAUGUUGAAAUUAAAU